GGUAAGAUGGCCGAGGGGUAGGCGGUAGGUUGUAGCCCUAAUUACAGAGGUUUAAGUCCUCUUCUUACUA
rnacentral:tRNA from 1 species